GUGUUGAUGGUUCAAAGAAAAAGGAUCUACUCUCUUUAUUAUCAACCUCGUUUAUCACCGUCAGAGUAAGACAAUAGGAUUAAAUUAAUUACGUACGUCUCAGUGCUUUGUCUUCCUUUCUUGUUAAGUGUUGCACUGCCGUCACCACCUAGCGCGGCAACACUUUAAGGCAGAGAGUAGCGCCGAUACAUUCUCAUCUACAGACAAUCACACACACACACACACACACACAGACCUUUCCAAACAGAAGGCCAUUGGUUCCUAGUAUUAGGGAGCGCAAUGCCAACGCUGCAGAUGCGAGUUUAUUCAUCUCAAGACUAAGAAAUCGUGCUUCUUUGAACGGAGCUGUGUGUGUGAACCAAACAGUCGGUGGGCGCAUAGUCUUCCCGUGGGCGUGUUAUCAGGUGGAAAAUUAAAUGCUCCACUUCAUGAUUUUACUCGGCAGAGAAGAUAACCUGCACACACACACACACACACAACCGCCCCGCUGCUCUACUUACAAGGCCGCCACUCAGCCGCAGCGGUGACGGCCCGGCCCGCUGUCGGGACAACGGCCGCGGCCCCGAGUUAGGCGCCCCGCGGUCACUGUAUCGGGAGAGCGGGGCGGGUGGCAGUACCGAGGCCUGGCUAGAGGGCUGCUGCAGGGGCGUCGGCGGGCGGGGCCACUGCCGGGGGCACAGCAGCUGGCGGCGGCCACGUCCUUUAGAGACCGGCGCAGCGGGUGUCGCACAGGCGCGGUGUCCAGAUCCAUGGACGGUUCACCUGUUCACGUCAACUCAUGCCAUCAAUUGUGUACAAACGAACAACUCGAGACAACCAAGGCCGCGGAGGGCUGGCGACGAAGGUGUGAGAACGCAAGCAAUAAGAGUCGUCGCUGCCUGGCCACGGGCGGAGGCGAGCCGCGGUGGCGUGCGGCCGGCGGCUCCCUCCACAACACGAGAACAACAAACAACAGAACCAAAAACCUUUCAGACGCUGUGGGGGACGGACUGACCAUGAGCACCUGUGUUGCUUUAUUUACAAGUUGUCUGUGCAGAGUCAAUUAACAUUUCCAGGGGCGGCGUGUGUGCGGGCUGGCGGCCACGACGCAUGUUCCUGGGCCUGCAGGCGGCCAGGCGCGGACGCCGCCCACCACCGGCAGAGCGUCCCCGUCAGUCGACAACUGACAGACGACCUAAACAAGAUAGACAGACUGACGGCAGGCCAGACCAAACUUUGCCGGGCCCGCGAAACAAACAACAAACCUUGGACGUGCUCGCCGGGUGAGUUUCCAAACCUAUUGGUUGUGUUGGUUAGUCUUUAAUGGCAAUGCUCGACAUACAGGGCUGCAUGUAGCUGUUAGGUGUUAGCAAGUCGCCCUUGCCCGCCUAGUGGCUGCAGCUGCCGUGUCUCCCGCUGACUUCUGCCUCCCUGUACCCGGCCGGGUGUCAUCGGAGGACUAGCGGAGUGCCGCGGCGCUUCGCAGCCAGCCCGCCGAGGCUCCUCCUCUCGCCGGCCAUUGGCUCGUGCAACACACAAAAUGGCGGACCAUGGCCACUGCGCAUGCGCUCUGCCACCUUAAAACCUUCACGGCAUAUUUCUUUUUUCACAUUAUCUCCAAAUUGUUUAAAUAAUUUUUUCGUUCGUGAUGUAUUGAGUGAAGCCGUACUUUUUGGGGGUCCAAACGGCGCUUGCAUCCGUAUCGCAAUCCACGCUAAUAUUUCUUAUGAUUAGAAACUUGGGAAUGGAGUUGGGAUGAGCCAUUUUUCGAGAUGCACUGAUGGAGUAAUUUAGCAACCGAGGGUAGAAUAAACGUAAUAAGUUAAUCUAAUUUAUCAUACCAGACUUAAGUUUAAUGCAAGGGGAGAGGGAACGUAUAUAACUUCGGACGAAAAGAAAAAAAAAAAAAGAUUGAGAAAGAAUAAAGAAGAAAAAAUAAAGUCCUCGUUCAACUGGCAUUCCUUUCAAGGUGCAAUGUUACUUAAUUAUCUUUUUUCUCUCUUACCUACUCUCCCUCUCACUCCUUUUAAUGUUAUCGAAUUACCCCGCGAAGGUAAUGAGGGUGAUGGGGCGUGUUGGUGGUGGUAGUGGUGAUGGCAGUGGAGAUAAUUUAUAGUGGCUCUACCUGUCUGCUCCUGGAUAUACCUACCUAAGACAAUUCCUGCCCGACUAGUGCCCGACAACAAAACAAUAAAGAAUACUGCCCGAUUGCUAAUCGGAUGCUGCUCAGUUGCUGGACGAAUGCAAAACGUCUCCGAAGUUGUCCCCCCUCCGGCAGAGUAUCAGCUGUCAUGGCGACAGCGCCUGCAGUGUCUGCUGCCCUUUGCCUGGCCCUCUUGGGUCGGGGUGCUGCUGUAGACUCUGGCUGGAACGGCAACAUUGGUGACGGGGUGUGCUCCUCCAUAAGCCGAGGAUCAUUCACCCCUUCCUCAACAAUCACACCGUUCGUUUGGAUGGCCUGGGUGGCUGGCACAGGCACAGCGGCAGGCUGUGAUGGGUUACAGUAAAAGUUUCUUGUAAAAUUUCGUGCGUAUUUGAGCUGCAGAAAAGUUGUAAAGACAAGAUGGUUCACAGAGAAAAAGACCCAUGGCUGCACAUCCAACAAAUUGUUCACUUUGUGGAAACAAAUGAGCUCCUAGACACGAUAACUGAAGGAGAGGAGAACAUUAAAACAGCAGCAACAGCAAGUUUCAUCAUGCUUUCAUUACUUUCUCCAUCCCAUCCUGAGACACCACAUGCACUUCUAAUAUAACUCAUUUCCACUGCACGUAUUCUUGACUGCUGUGCUGCAUUCCAUGUCCACAUCUCUGAUGCAUAUGACAGAGUUGGCAGGAUAAUACUAUUCCUUAUUCCCUCCUUUACCUCCAUGCUCACACUUCUUCCUUUCAUAACUCUCUCCAAUGCACCCACCACCUGUCUGCCUUUCACUGCUCUUUCCCUCACGUCACCUUCCAUACUUCCAUGCUCAUAUAAAACUGUCCCUAAAUAUUUGAACUCAGUCACCUCCUCCAUUCUCUGUUACCCUAACCUUAUCCUACACUUUGUUAUGUUCUCUGCUCUAACUCUGUACAGCUUUGCAAAAUCAAUGACCUGCUCUUGCCCUCUUAAAUACCAUAAUCUUACUCUUUCCAGCAUUCACUCUGAGCUUUUUCCUCUUACACAGGAAUUCACCAUUUAACUUUGCUUUUCAGCACUUUUGUAUGUAUGUUUUUUUAUCAGGGAUUCACCAUUUAAGUAUCCUUUCCAGCAUUUUUGUAAGUAUUUUUUAUCAGAAAUUCGCCAAUAAAUUAUCUUUUCCAGCACUUUUUUUUUUUUUUUUUUUUUUUUUAAUCAGGAAUUCACCAUUUAGUAAUCACACUGGUCAACACACUUUUUGCUGACUUAGGUUUUGUGGUUGUUUUUAGCUGAUUUUAAAGUGCUGAUUUCAAAUAUGGCAUCCAUUUUUUGCUAACACAUCAGGUUUUCAUUCUAUGGCACAUCCCUGUUUUAUGAUGUACUGUAUGAAUAAUUUACUUGGUCAGGAGAGUUUACUAAGUCUUACAUCUUAAAUCCAUAAGUUAUAAUGUCAACAGAAUCUGAAAUGAUCAAUAAAUUGUAAGAUAACAUCACCUUUUAUUAAAUACAUCUGCUUGUUUUUUUGUUGUUGUUUUUUUACAACAAAGGAGGCAGCUCAAGGGCACACACACACACACACAAAAAAAAAAAAAUAAUAAAAAAAGCCUGCUACUCGCUACUCCUAAAAAAGAAACAAAAGAGGUGGCCGAAAGGAAGAUCAAAUGCGGGAGGAGAGGUGUCCUGAUACCCUCCUCUUGAAAGAGUUCAAGUCGUAGGCAGGAGCAAAUACAGAUGAAGGAAGAUUGUUCCAGAGUUUACCAGCGUGAGGGAUGAAAGAGUGAAGAUGCUGGUUAACUCUUGCAUAAGGGGUUUGGACAGUAUAGGGAUGAGCAUGGGUAGAAAGUCGAGUGCAGCGGGGCCGCGGGAGGGGGGGAGGCAUGCAGUUAGCAAGUUCAGAAGAGCAGUCAGCGUGGAAAUAUCGAUAGAAGAUAGAAAGAGAGGCAACAUUGCGGCGGAAUUUAAGAGGUAGAAGACUAUCAGUAUGAGGAGAGCUGAUGAGACGAAGAGCCUUAGCCUCCACUCUGUCCAGAAGAGCUGUGUGAGUGGAGCCCCCCACACAUGAGAUGCAUACUCCAUACGAGGGCGGACAAGGCCCCUGUAUAUGGACAGCAACUGUGCAGGGGAGAAGAACUGGCGGAGACGGUACAGAACGCCCAGCCUCGAGGAAGCUGAUUUAGUAAGAGAUGAGAUAUGAAGUUUCCAGUUGAGAUUUUGAGUCAAGGAUAGACCGAGGAUGUUUAGUUUUGAGGAAGGUGAUAGCUGGGUGUUGUCAAAGAAUAGGGGAUAGUUGUUUGGAAGAUUGUGUCGAGUGGAUAGGUGGAGAAACUGUGUUUUUGAGGCGUUGAAGGACACCAGGUUCUUCUUGCCCCAAUCGGAAAUAAUAGUAAGGUCUGAGGCUAAGCGUUCUGCAGCCUCUAGCCUUCAGUCGUUAAGUUCCUGAAGGGUGGGUCUUCUAUUAAAAGAAGUUGAGUAAUGCAGAGUGGAAUCAUCAGCGUAGGAAUGGAUAGGACAGUUCGUUUUGGAAAGAUCAUCAUCAAUGAACAACAGAAAAAGAGUGGGAGAUAGGACAGAAUCCUGUGGGACACCACUGUUAAUAGAUUUAGGGGAAGAACAGUGACCGUCUACCACGGCAGAAAUAGAACGGUCAGAAAGGAAACUGGAGAUAAAGGUGCAGAGAGAAGGAUAGAAACCAUAGGAGGGUAGUUUAGAAAGCAAAGAUUUGUGCCAGACCCUAUCAAAAGCUUUUGAUAUGUCCAGCGCAAUAGCAAAAGUUUCACCAAAACGGCUAAGAGAGGAUGACCAAGAGUCAGUUAAGAAGGCUAGGAGAUCACCAGUAGAACGCCCCUUGCGGAACCCAUACUGGCGAUCAGAUAGAAGGUCAGAAGUGGAAAGGUGCUUUAGAAUCUUCCGGUUAAGGAUUGAUUCAAAAGCUUUAGAUAGACAAGAAAGUAAAGCUAUAGGACGGUAGUUUGAGGGAUUGGAGCGGUCACCCUUUUUAGGUACAGGCUGUAUGAAGGCAUACUUCCAGCAAGAAGGAAAGGUAGAUGUUGACAGGCAGAGGCAAAAGAGUUUGACCAGGCAGGGUGACAGCACGGAGGCACAGUUUUUAAGGACAAUAGGAGGCACUCCAUCAGGUCCAUAAGCCUUCUGAGGAUUGAGGCCAGAGAGGGCAUAGAAAACAUCAUGUUGAAGAAUCUUUAUAACAGGCAUAAAGGAGUCAGAGGGGGGAUGAGUAGGAGGAAUAUGCCCAAAAUCGUCCAGAGUGGAGUUUUUAGAAAAAGUUUGAGAGAAGAGUUCAGCCUUAGAGAUAGAUGAGACGGCAGUGUUCUCAUAAGCGGAAAUUUGUUCCACGAAUAUGUUAGUUUGUGUACGAUUGUUUGUGCUUUAUCCAUUAUAUUUGAGAAUUAACCAGCAGGAGUGUUUCAUGUUUACACAGUCACUUUGAAUACUCCAACAGUAGUCUGCCAUCAUGUGUACGUCCCAUCUGCCUUGAUAUCUCUCCUCCAUAACCUUAAUAUCUUGAUGAAAGCGCUCGCCAUGCUCAUCGCUCACAUCUCCAAGAUUAGCAGGAAAUUCAUUGAGAUGGCUCUUGAGGAACUGAACCUUUAUGCUCAUGUUGCAGCCUAAGAGAUGACAGGUAUCAAGCAAUGUCUCCACCAAAUCUUGUAGUGUACUGCCUUUUUGCUCCCCAAAAAUCCUUUCACAACAGCCACAAAUGAAUCCCAUGCUCUUUUUCUACGUCAGUCUUCAAGCUCGAAAAGUUUUGCCAUUCCAUUAACUUCUUGAUGUGUGUCCCAUAAAAAAACACCAGCCUUUAUUUUAGCCAGGAAAUGUUGUACAUAUGAAUUUGACACAGUCACCCUCCACAUUAAAAGCUUUGACAAACUGUUUCAUUAGUCCUAAUUUAAUAUGAAGGGGUGGGAAGAUGAUUUUUUCUCACUCAACAAAGGGUUGGUGCAUGAUAUUCUUCUCCCCAACAGUCUAACUUUUUUUAACUGGCCAGAGUAUCUGUUCCCAAUGUUUGUCUUUUGCUCAGCGAUCCCAUAAAUGCAGGAAACAUGGAUGUUUUGUAUACCCUUUUUGUUGGCCAAGUAAAAAGUUGACCAUUUUCAGAUCCACACAUAUGACCCAUUUGUGUUCAUCAUACUUGAGUAAAUCUAAUACAGUUUUAAUGUGUUCAUGAUUCUUUUUAACCCAAGAACAGCGACAGACCUCAAUUGAGGCUUGCCCGAGGAGAGGCGACAAGCCUCAAUUGAGUGCGAUUUUUGAAUGCAUACAUAGAUGGCUGAAAAUUGGACUGGAUCAUGUAAUAUAUGGUAACACUCAGUAGGACUACCCACUGUCGCCCCCCACCCGCCCCCACCUCCAGCCGGCAGCAGA